rnacentral:rRNA from 1 species
AGUGAACGCUGGCGGUAGGCCUAACACAUGCAAGUCGAACGGCAGCACAGUAAGAGCUUGCUCUUACGGGUGGCGAGUGGCGGACGGGUGAGGAAUACAUCGGAAUCUACUUUUUCGUGGGGGAUAACGUAGGGAAACUUACGCUAAUACCGCAUACGACCUACGGGUGAAAGCAGGGGAUCUUCGGACCUUGCGCGAUUGAAUGAGCCGAUGUCGGAUUAGCUAGUUGGCGGGGUAAAGGCCCACCAAGGCGACGAUCCGUAGCUGGUCUGAGAGGAUGAUCAGCCACACUGGAACUGAGACACGGUCCAGACUCCUACGGGAGGCAGCAGUGGGGAAUAUUGGACAAUGGGCGCAAGCCUGAUCCAGCCAUACCGCGUGGGUGAAGAAGGCCUUCGGGUUGUAAAGUCCUUUUGUUGGGAAAGAAAAGCAGCAGGUUAAUACCCCGCUGUUCUGACGGUACCCAAAGAAUAAGCACCGGCUAACCUCGUG